rnacentral:rRNA from 1 species
GACGAACGCUGGCGGCGUGCUUAACACAUGCAAGUCGAACGGAAAGGCCUGCUUUCCCUUGUGGAUUGCGGGUACUCGAGUGGCGAACGGGUGAGUAACACGUGAGUGAUCUGCCCCCAACUUGGGUAUAAGCCUGGGAAACUGGGUCUAAUUCCCGAUAGGACUGCAGGGUGGUGCCUGUGGUGGAAAACGAUUUUCUAGUGGUUGUGGAUGAGCUCGCGGCCUAUCAGCUUGUUGGUGGGGUAAUGGCCUACCAAGGCGGCGACGGGUAGCCGGCCUGAGAGGGUGGACGGCCACAUUGGGACUGAGAUACGGCCCAGACUCAGACGGGAGGCAGCAGUGGGGAAUAUUGCACAAUGGGCGGAAGCCUGAUGCAGCGACGCCGCGUGGGGGAUGACGGCCUUCGGGUGGUAAACUCCUUUCGACCGCGAGGAAGCCACCUGGUUGGAAGGGUGGUGACGGUAGUGGUAGAAGAAGCACCGGCUAACUACGUG